rnacentral:rRNA from 1 species
UACGGAGGGUGCAAGCGUUAAUCGGAAUUACUGGGCGUAAAGCGCACGCAGGCGGUUUGUUAAGUCAGAUGUGAAAAUCCCGGGCUCAACCUGGGAACUGCAUUUGAAACUGGUAAGCUAGAGUCUCGUAGAGGGGGGUAGAAUUCCAGGUGUAGCGGUGAAAUUCGUAGAUAUCUGGAGGAAUACCGGUGGCGAAGGCGGCCCCCUGGACGAAGACUGACGCUCAGGUGCGAAAGCGUGGGGAGCAAACAGG